UGUAAAAAUACUCCUUUAAAAGCUUGCCUUGUAAUUCAAGCCACUUUCAGAAAUCAUGAGGUACUCGGAAGGAAACCAUGAUCUAUUUCUGGCACCAAGGGAUGGUGGAAAAGGAGAAAAAAUGGAAAUGCAAACUGUGUGCACUAUCUGCUCUGAACUGUAAACAUCAAUGCGGAAUUGUUGGCAGAUGGCUUGUUUCUAUUUUGUUGGUUUUCAGAACUGAGGCCAUAAUUAAGAGGGAUGCUUGGGGGCAUUAGUAUUGUGUCACUAAAGGUGAAAUUCUUGGACCAGUGCAAGACGGACCAGAGGGAAAGCAUUUGGCAAGAAUGUUUUCAUUAAUCAAGAAAAAAAGUCGGAGGUUCAAAGACGAUCAGACACUGUCAUAAUUCUGACCAUAAAUGAUGCUGACUGUGGAUGCAGCGGCGUUAUUCCCUUGAUCCCGGGCAGCUUCCAGGAAACCUAAGUCUUUUGGUUCUGGAGGGAAUAUGGUUGCAAAGCAGAAACUUAAAGUAAUUGAUGGAAGGGCAC
rnacentral:ncRNA from 1 species